CGGGCCAUAGCGCAGUCUGGUUAGCGCGCCUGACUGGGGGUCAGGAGGUCGGAGGUUCGAAUCCUCUUGGCCCGA
rnacentral:tRNA from 1 species